GAUGAACGCUGGCGGCGUGCCUAAUACAUGCAAGUCGAGCGAACAGACGAGGAGCUUGCUCCUCUGACGUUAGCGGCGGACGGGUGAGUAACACGUGGAUAACCUACCUAUAAGACUGGGAUAACUUCGGGAAACCGGAGCUAAUACCGGAUAAUAUAUUGAACCGCAUGGUUCAAUAGUGAAAGACGGUUUUGCUGUCACUUAUGGAUGGAUCCGCGCCGCAUUAGCUAGUUGGUAAGGUAACGGCUUACCAAGGCAACGAUGCGUAGCCGACCUGAGAGGGUGAUCGGCCACACUGGAACUGAGACACGGUCCAGACUCUUACGGGAGGCAGCAGUAGGGAAUCUUCCGCAAUGGGCGAAAGCCUGACGGAGCAACGCCGCGUGAGUGAUGAAGGUCUUCGGAUCGUAAAACUCUGUUAUUAGGGAAGAACAAAUGUGUAAGUAACUAUGCACGUCUUGACGGUACCUAAUCAGAAAGCCACGGCUAACUACGUG
rnacentral:rRNA from 1 species